UACGUAGGAGACGAGCGUUGUCCGGAGUUACUGGGCGUAAAGGGUGCGCAGGUGGCGGCGCGCGUGGGGGGUGAAAUCGCCCGGCUUAACUGGGCGGGGGCCUUCCAGACGGCGUGGCUUGAGCAGCGGAGGGGGACGUGGAAUUCCGGGUGGAGCGGUGAAAUGCGCAGAUAUCAGGAGGAACACCGGUGGCGAAGGCGGGUCUCUGGGCAGUAACUGACGCUGGAGGAGCGAAAGCGUGGGGAGCGAACAGG
rnacentral:rRNA from 1 species